rnacentral:rRNA from 1 species
CCCUUAGACACUCUAGGCGGCACGCGCGUUACACUGGGUGGAAGAACGUGUUACUGCCAUCGAAAGGUGGGGUGAAUCACGAAUUCUUGCCCGUGAAUGGGAUAGUUUGUUGCAAUUUUCGGACUUGAACUAGGAAUCCCUUGUAAGCAUGCUCAAGAAUAGCGUGUUGAAUACGUCCCUGCCGUUUGUACACACCGCCCGUCGUUUCUUCCGACUGAUACUCAUUGUGAGUUGCAAGGAUCCUUCAUUGGAGAAUUGCCGCGAAUGCUUUGUAUUGGAGGAAGAAAAAGUCGUAACA